GAGAGCAGGCUGAGCAAGCCAGGGGAGGCAAGCCAGUAAAGAACAUCCUUCCAUGGCCUCUGCAUCAGCUCCUGCUUCCUGACCUGCUUGAGUUCCAGUCCUGACUUCCUUGGUGAUGAACAGCAGUAUGGAAGUGUAAGCCGAAUAAACCCUUUCCUCCCCAACUUGCUUCUUGGUCAUGAUGUUUGUGCAGGAAUAGAAACCCUGACUAAGACAGAUGGCGAGGGCUUAGCCUUGGCAGUGGAGGGUUGGAGGGUCUAAAGUGGGAAAGCUUGGACCAAUUGGUGCAAAUGAUGGGCGGGACAGAGUUGUUACUGUGGUGUGAGAUUCCUCAUUGGUCUGUGUUGGCAGUGUCCUUUGAUGAAGGGCUCAAAGAAGGGCCAAGGCUUGUUUUAGACAAACCACCAUUAGCUCCAUUUGUGGCAAGGAAGUGUGUAGAGAUAGACGCUCUGGUAAUCAGGAGACUGAUGGCUAUGAUCACUUGCAAAGGGCCCAGGCCUAGAACCAGCCCCAUAAGUAGACAGAAUACUUAUCCCCUGCAUCUGGACUCCUGAGUCUCAUUCUGUCUGGGGCCCUGGCUUCUUGUUGCUGGUUACCCACUAGGCCUCUGGCUAUUUCCAUGGUGGCUGCUGCCCUGUACACCGACUUGAUGUCUCAGGAGUAAUUGACUCGUGUUUCCUUCUUCUAAGGGUGCCCUGGGACUCACCAAGCACUGCCUAUCUUAGAUUAGCAUAGACUGGACUUCCUGUUGCUGAUAGUCUCAAUGGGUUCUUCAGCUUGUGGCCUCAGCCUCAGGCCUACCUAUGCUCAGAACUCCCUCUCUGACCUGUGGCGGGGGACUGCCUAGAAGCCAGUCUUUGUAGCUGACAUUCACCUUGCCUGGUCCAGAGGAGAGGGUGAAAUGAUUUGAUUUUAAAUAAAUAAAUACAUAAAAAUGUCCAGUGCUCUCUGUCGUUAUCAGGUUGGGAAUUUUCUGUAACCACUUACAGAAGAGAAGAAAGCUUUCAGAUUAGCAACUUCUGUCUUUCAGAAGGCAAACAGAGAUAACUCUUGGCUUUGAAAUGGGAACACACCCAAGGCAAAGAUGGUUCUCGCUGAUAUCUCACUGCAGUAUGAGGCUUCACAACCGGCAAUUGCAUAGACUGAGGACAUGGAAGCUCCAAGAUACUACAGAUCUCCGGAUGACCCUUCUGAAUGAGAUAGGAAAUGGCUUCUUUAGUUGAGCGGAACAGCCACAGAAUUUGGGGUCUCUCACUGGCCUGGAGUUUCCCAAGUAGGUCAGCCUAUCUGGCUAGCAAGUCCCAGGGCCUGACAGUCUUCCCACCACAGUACUGCCAUUACAGAGAUUGAUUUUGAAAGCACCCCUCAAAGGCUUGAAAGUACUCAGACAGCCGUUCAGUUGUGUGCUGCCCAGGUUAUAACUCAAGUUUCCCAGUAAAUGACACGCAGAAGAAGUAAUAGGAGAUGACGCCCCACCCUUCCUGUCUCUCCGAUACCCUGCAGCAUCUGUUAGUCAUCUUUGUCAUAGAUGCUAAUAAAUUCAAAUUAAGGACAGCAAGAGUAUUGAA
rnacentral:lncRNA from 1 species